rnacentral:rRNA from 1 species
AGUGAACGCUGGCGGCGUGCCUAAUACAUGCAAGUCGAACGAGUGGCGAACGGGUGAGUAACGCAUCGGAAAGUACCGAGUAAUGGGGGAUAACUGUCCGAAAGGAGAGCUAAUACCGCAUAUUAUUCGAGCGGCCGAUGUUUGGUUAGCUGGUUGGCGGGGUAAAGGCCCACCAAGGGGACGAUCAGUAGCGGGUCUGAGAGGAUGAUCCGCCAACAUGGGACUGAGACACGGCCCAGACUCCUACGGGAGGCAGCAGUGGGGAAUUUUGGACAAUGGGCGCAAGCCUGAUCCAGCCAUGCCGCGUGUCUGAAGAAGGCCUUCGGGUUGUAAAGGACUUUUGUCAGGGAAGCGGUACCUGAAGAAUAAGCACCGGCUAACUACGUGCCAGCAGCCGCGGUAAUUC